rnacentral:rRNA from 1 species
AGGAAUUGACGGGGCCCCGCACAAGCGGCGGAGCCUGCGGAAUAAUUCGAUGCAACGCGUAGAACCUUACCAGGGUGUGACAUGGAUCGGGAGUGCUCAGAGAUGGGUGUGCCUCUUUUGGGGUCGGUUCACAGGUGGUGCAUGGCUGUCGUCAGCUCGUGUCGUGAGAUGUUGGGUUAAGUCCCGCAACGAGCGCAACCCUUGUUCACUGUUGCCAGCACGUUAUGGUGGGGACUCAGUGGAGACCGCCGGGGUCAACUCGGAGGAAGGUGGGGAUGACGUCAAGUCAUCAUGCCCCUUAUGUCCAGGGCUUCACGCAUGCUACAAUGGCUGGUACAGAGAGUGGCGAGCCUGUGAGGGUGAGCGAAUCUCGGAAAGCCGGUCUCAGUUCGGAUUGGGGUCUGCAACUCGACCUCAUGAAGUCGGAGUCGCUAGUAAUCGCAGAUCAGCAACGCUGCGGUGAAUACGUUCCCGGGGCU